rnacentral:rRNA from 1 species
UACGUAGGGUGCAAGCGUUUAAUCGGAAUUACUGGGCGUAAAGCGCGUGUAGGCUGCUUCGCAAGUCGGAUGUGAAAGCCCUGGGCUCAACCCAGGAAGUGCAUUCGAAACUGCAGAGCUGGAGUCCUGGAGAGGAAGGCGGAAUUCUCGGUGUAGAGGUGAAAUUCGUAGAUAUCGAGAGGAACACCGGUGGCGAAGGCGGCCUUCUGGGACAGUGACUGACGCUGAGACGCGAAAGCGUGGGGAGCAAACAGG